ensembl:lncRNA
UUUUGUUGCAAACAUAUCCAGAUGAUGCUGCAUAACAUUUUGCACAAAGACACUGUUGGUGUGAUCAAAGCGUUAUGACCAGUUGAGGUGAGAGCAUGUGAGGGUCGCAGAGACUAAAAACCAACUUUAGUUAGAUCUCAUAAGUCUCUUUGAAACUGAGGCGAUUUUGAACAGAGACUUUGUCGUCACGGUGAGGGAAAGGAAUUCCCUUCAGAAGAUGCCUACAGAGCUGGUCAACUUCCUGCCUGUGGACCGACACUGUCCACUCAGAGACCAGAUCACCCAAGGUGUUACUUCUUCUCCACUGAGGAGGAGCUGAAGCAGCGGUCGGGUCGACUGUGUUCAACAGGGCGGAGAUCUGGUGGUCAUUAGUCCAGAGGAACAGGUAGAAAGAGCCCAGUUCUGUGAAUGUGAGGGGAGACAGUGUGUGCCUCCACCAUCAGAGAGACCAACCCUUCUCGGAGCUGGAGAAGAGACCUGCAGCAUCAUGUCCGGAUGGAUCUGUGGGAGCUCAGCGCUCAUAUAGUCAGCAUUGCCAUAUAGACACACGCAUGCACAGAGCACAUUUAUAUGUAGCCUUAAAAUCCUCCAUUAAAAUAGCAUUAAUACAGGAUAGGGC